CCCUCUCUCAAAAAUAAAUAAACAUUAAAAAAAUUCUUUUAAAGUAAAUAAAUGAACAUUAAAAAAAGAAUUAACGCUAUUCACAUAACACGGAGCCUGAAAUACUUUCCACCGAGAAUUGAGGUAAUAAUGGCGUUUACUUCUCAUGGGGAUCUCACGUUGAUCACACGUUGAUCAAACAAUCUGUUCAGCAUCAGGCGCUGAAGAAUUCCAGGCAGCGAACACAGAGUGCUCGCUGUACGGGCACUGUCCUCAGUGCUUUACACACAGGAAUGGGUAACCUGUUUUCCAUUUGUGUCCUCUGGGGAGUAAAGGCCAAGGUGACAUGAGAUGGGCGUGAGGUUCAUUGGGAGAAACGCCUAUGAAGGAUGAAGGGAGCGGACACAGGAGGAGGGGGCAAGGGCAGGCUUCAGACGAAGAUGCAGGUGUGAUAUCUAUGCCAGAAGGUAAAGAAGGAAGCCCUGGGUAGAAAAAGCCUCCGACCACUGACAAAAGUCUCAGACAGGCUGAUGGAUGAGGAAUCUUGGGUCAAGGUUGGAAGAAUUCCUCGUGCAGCAUGAAUGGCUUAGUGUAGUGGUCCCAGCAGACGCUGGUGGGGGAGGGGAGAGGGCUCUACCUCCGAUAGUGGGCUCUUUGGAGAGAGAUCUGAGUGGGAUACUAGAGAACCCAGCCUGUCUGGCACCAAAGUCCAUGCUCUUAGCCGUGUGAUUCCACCCAGCUCAUGCUUUCAGGGUGGGCAGUGAAAGAUGUAACCCUGUUGUGAUGAAAGGGCUGAGUAGGAAAAGAAGAUGCCUCGUCACCGAGAUCUAGGGGUUGCACUCAGCACUCACAUGGAACCUGGUCUCAGUGGUGUCCGAGGCCAUGAAAAGCAAUGAGUCUGGGGGAAAAGGGACUGCACCGUAAUCUCCUAAUCCUAACAUACUUGCAAGUUUUGCCCUGGGACAGACACCUUCAUCUGUUCCGAUCUCAUAAAACUUUUCAGUCAGUAUUUAAAUAUUUACGCAACACUCACUAACGACGGGGCGCUGUGCUCAGUGCAAUGGGAAAUGCUAAGAUCCAAACCUUAACUCUUCCAUCCGCUGGUUUACCCGAUAAGGAAGACGUCAUUCACGUAAAUAACCAUAGGCACACGAGGACAAGUGAAAAUGUCACAUAAGGCACAGACGGGGCACCUUGGAAGUUUAGGGAAGAGAAGGAUCACUUCCUGUUGGAAACGUUGAGAAAGAUUUCAUGAAGGACAAAGAAUUGGUAUCGGUGCCUCAAAUGCGAAGAUGGUGGCCAAGAAGAUCUAGACAUUCAUUCUCCAUUGGGAGAAAGUAACAAAAACCUGUCACAGAAGCUGGAAGCCAAACCUGAAAUGACAAUAUCACGAUUCUCCUAAGAGAAAUGUCUAAAGUCCAGACCCCAACGGAGCUAUAAAUAUAUUAAUCUUUUUUUAUUAGAGGAAGAAGUAAGAUUUAUUUAGUUGACUAGAGUUGUUGUAACAAAAUACACAAACUGGGUGCCUUCGUACAAUAGAAAUUUAUUGUCACACAGCUCUGGAGGCUAGAAAUCCAAGAUCAAGGUGUCAGUGUCAUGCUUCCCCCAAAGCCUCUGAGGAAGGAUCCUUUCUUGCCUCUCCCAGGUUCUGGUACUUCUAGGAAUUCUCUGGCUUCUGGAUGGAUCACUUCAAUCUCUGCCUCCACUGUGACAUUCCCCCAGUGUGUCUGUUCUUCACAUGGCCAUGUUCCUUUAGUGUCUCUUUUUCUAAGGACACCAGUCAUAUCGGGCCCACCCUACUCGACUAUUGCCUCAUUUGAACUAAUUAUAACGACAACGCCCCUCUUUCUAAAUAAGGUUACAUUCUGAGGUCCUAGGGGGAAAGACUUCAACAUAGCUUUUUGUGGGGGGGACACUAUUCAACCCAUUAACAUUAUCCUAUUACUUGAAUCAUGACGGUAUUCUUUGCCGCCUUCCGAAAUAUAAUUUUACGUGAGCAAAAAUCUCCUCAGAUUUCCCAAGAACAAUGAAAAGAAAACAAGCCAUAAUUAUUUGGAACGUUAAAUCAGUAGGUAUAUAUUUAUACAUCAAUAUAAAAUAUUGAGAUCUCUGAAUAAAGUCCUAAAAAUAUUCUUAAACAUUUGACAAAAGCAUUGAUUUUCGUCACUCUUUCUUGGUUUUCCUAGCUGGUGUAGCCUCAUGUUUAAGCAAUCUGUUGAAGGUUUCCAUAAUUUCAGGGCAGAUUUUUCCAUAGAAAAUUCCAAGGUAAGAGGUGAAGCACUAACUCCAGACUCGGGGUCUUUUGAUUGCAAGAAUCUGUCCCUUUGUCCCUGAGAAACAGGAACAAUAAAACAUCUCUCACUACGCUAGGCAGAGAGGAGCAAAGCUCUCUAGAUGCGGUGAGAACAAGCCCAUUAACUAGUUUGAACCCGGAUCGCUCAUCCUCACAGAUUGUACCUUUUCAAGAUGGACACAAAAAUAUAUCCCCUCCCAUCUGCUUUACUUGACAUUGACACUGUUCCACUGGGAAGUGGAGAAUACGGACAGGGUUUAGGGACUGGCUGCUAAUGAACGCAACACCCGGGAAGCAGAGUUGAGUGACUUCCAAGAUAAGAUCAUAAAAGACAUACAGCCUCUGCUUGGCUUUCUCUGUCCUUCCCAUCUCGUGCUCCCUUCCUGCCUUUCUGCCUCUCUGUCUUUCCCUCCAUUUCUCUUUCUGUCCCUGUCUGUCUCUGUCUGUCUCUCUUUCUCUCUUUCUCUUUCUCCCUCUCCCUUCCCACCCUCCCUCACUUUCUCCCAGGACCCUCACCUGUGGAACCCAGCUGCCGUGUUGUAGACCACGUUUUGGAGCCCAGGCCAAAAGGAGAGGCCACACGUGGGUGUUUGAGUCGGCAACUCCAGCUACACUCAUGGCCAUCAGCCAGCAUCAACCUCCAGACAAGCUGCAGGAACAAGUCUUCAGAUUAUGUGAGCUGAGGCCCAGACAUCAUGGAGCAGAGGCAAGCUGUCCCCAGUGUUCUCUGGAUACAUUCUUGCCCAACGGAAUUCACGAGCAUAAUAAAUGGUGGCUUCAUGCCUCUACAUUUUCUGCAUAGCCAUGGUUACUGGAAUGCCAUAUAUCCAGCAAAAUAACAAGUUGUAAAGCUAGAUUCUUAAGUGACAUAUUUGUUGAUGUUGCUGGAACUUUACCCUGGCCCUCUGAGAGAGGCAAUCUUAGAAGCAAAGAGAAAGAUAUACUAAGGCUGAAAGGUUCUCGGAAUCUAAAGAGUUCAAGGCUGCCAAUAGGUAAAGCAUUGAAUACAGACGUCUCUCAUUUCAGGGGCACAUAGCUUGGCUACUGCUUGUGACUCUGUGGUUGACCAAGCAAACGUUUAGUGUCCUUGAAGCUAAGGUGACAAUAUUAGUUGUAUCUCAGGUAAACUCCUGCUGAAUAUUGACUGAUAAAUUUUAUAAAGAGCAGCUACUUUGUUGGGAUAACUACUAUAUUCUUAUAUAACUGAUAAGAAAAACCUUCCUCCUUCCCUCCGUCCUUCCUUACUUCCUUUAUUUCUUUUCCAGGGAUGUCUGUGAAUGAAUGUAUGAAUGGCAGAAACAAACAAACAAAAGGCUGAGGGUGAAGAAAUAAACUCAUUUUUAAAAUUCAAGGCAGGUGUAUGUGUCAGGAUCUUUUCAGUUCUAUAAACUACCAACUUACACAGAGACAGACUAAAUACAUUGAAAUGAAGUGUUCUCUGCACUACUAAAUUGGGAUCUGAUGAGUACUGGGGCAAUGUGAAGAAGUCUUUCUUGCGCAGCGCAACUCUCCAGUGGGUGAUCGUUCUCGAAUCAACUGAGCUCAGAAGAUGAGAAAACUGAAGCCACGAGGAUAAAACCAGUGGUCGAUGUUACCAGACAACUGGCGGGAGAGCUGGGAGCUGACCCAUGAGCCUGGAGGUGUGGCCCUGCCUUCCUGCCACCUGACCCGGAGUCUCUCUGCUUCGCUGCUUUCAUGUCCUUUCCAAGAUUAACAUUUUACCUACCUUCUUUCCACGACCUCCCCCCCGCCAUGACCAACGCCCUCGACACUGUGUCCUGAAUAAUAGAAUAGGACAAAAAGUCUUUACCCACGUUUCUGAGUAGAACGGCUAUCACUCCGUGGGCUUUUAGAGGGGCACUGUCUAUGCAGCCUUAGCUAACUGCAUGGUGUCUUCUUUAACCAGAGGUCCACAAUAUCAAAUCUUUUUCACAAUGACAUAAGGAGGAAGAAAAGAGUCACUUUAGCUGGUGACGAUCUGCUUUCUCCUUCCAGCUUUUCCUGGAUGCCUUUCUCUUUUCUCUUCUAAUGCUUCCAUUGCUGGAUGUAAGAGGCUGCACUGUGUUGCUGUGUUCAAGAUAGAUGAUAGAUAGAUAGAUAGAUAGAAUAAAUCUAGAGAGAUUUAGAUAUCAAGAUAGAAGUAGGUGUUACGAUAUCAAGACAUGUAUGUAUGUGUAUCAUUAGUUUGGGUUCCCCCAGAGGCAGCCCUUAAAAUAAGGAUUCAGUGCAAAUAGCAAACACUGGUAAGGGAAGGGAUAAGAAACAGAGAAGGGAAGUAAACGAAAGAAUAAUCAAGCAACUUCCCACUGAGGGCAAAUGGAGCUUAAUUCUGUGGGGGAAUGCCGGGGGAUUGUGUAAAACUUCCUACCCUAUGGCUCAGUCGGUUAAGGGUCUGACUUCAGCUCAGGUCAUGAUCUUGUGGCUUGUGAGUUCGAGCCCCACAUCAGGCUGUGUGCUGACAG